UGGAUCCAGACUUUGAUUCUGGCUCAGGACGAACGCUGGCGGCGUGCCUAAUGCAUGCAAGUCGAGCGAGCUUGCCUAGAUGAUUUUAGUGCUUGCACUAAAUGAAACUAGAUACAAGCGAGCGGCGGACGGGUGAGUAACACGUGGGUAACCUGCCCAAGAGACUGGGAUAACACCUGGAAACAGAUGCUAAUACCGGAUAACAACACUAGACGCAUGUCUAGAGUUUGAAAGAUGGUUCUGCUAUCACUCUUGGAUGGACCUGCGGUGCAUUAGCUAGUUGGUAAGGUAACGGCUUACCAAGGCAAUGAUGCAUAGCCGAGUUGAGAGACUGAUCGGCCACAUUGGGACUGAGACACGGCCCAAACUCCUACGGGAGGCAGCAGUAGGGAAUCUUCCACAAUGGACGAAAGUCUGAUGGAGCAACGCCGCGUGAGUGAAGAAGGGUUUCGGCUCGUAAAGCUCUGUUGGUAGUGAAGAAAGAUAGAGGUAGUAACUGGCCUUUAUUUGACGGUAAUUACUUAGAAAGUCACGGCUAACUACGUGCCAGCAGCCGCGGUAAUACGUAGGUGGCAAGCGUCGUCCGGAUUUAUUGGGCGUAAAGCGAGUGCAGGCGGUUCAAUAAGUCUGAUGUGAAAGCCUUCGGCUCAACCGGAGAAUUGCAUCAGAAACUGUUGAACUUGAGUGCAGAAGAGGAGAGUGGAACUCCAUGUGUAGCGGUGGAAUGCGUAGAUAUAUGGAAGAACACCAGUGGCGAAGGCGGCUCUCUGGUCUGCAACUGACGCUGAGGCUCGAAAGCAUGGGUAGCGAACAGGAUUAGAUACCCUGGUAGUCCAUGCCGUAAACGAUGAGUGCUAAGUGUUGGGAGGUUUCCGCCUCUCAGUGCUGCAGCUAACGCAUUAAGCACUCCGCCUGGGGAGUACGACCGCAAGGUUGCAACUCAAAUGAAUUGACGGA
rnacentral:rRNA from 1 species